AGCAACUCGUGUCAAAUAUCUAAUUAAUCACAAGCCCCCAAUCAGUGUACCCUCCAACGUGGAAAACGACUGCUCCCUUUCGUGUCAGAUCCCAAUGCUUUUAUAAUGCCAGAUGCACGUGAUCCCCUACGGUACGUACGUACGCGCACAGCCAGCCACUCGCUGAAAUGUCAGUCCUAUCCAGACGGAUAGCAGCGUAGCAUGUAUGCAGAUCAGAUUUUCAAUCACAAGUGGUUGCUUUCGUUAAUCAGAACUUCCAUCUCAUCGAAGCCGUGUUGCAAAGUACCUAUUUUAGACUCUUCAGAUGCUCUUCUUCAGAGUUAAGGCUCUCUGUAGCUACUUCAGCUGAUGAUCUCUUUGAUAAGGUGACAAGCAAGAUGCAGCCAUGACCUGAAAGAGGAAAAUAGUUCAGCUAUUAGUAACAUUGUAAGCUAUAAUAGGAGGGGU
rnacentral:lncRNA from 1 species